UGGGAUGUAGCUCAGUGGCAAAGCGCUUGCCUAGUAAAUGCAAUGUCCUGGGUUCGAUCCCCAGUACCCCCA
rnacentral:tRNA from 1 species